rnacentral:tRNA from 1 species
AGUUAAUGAGCUUGUUGAAGCAUUUACUUUGAAAGUAAAAUAAAGAAAUAAAAUUUUCUAUUAACUU